rnacentral:pre_miRNA from 1 species
AGGAACAACAGGGGCGGCGGCCAGCUCUGGAGCCCUGGAUUUAGCUCCUGCAGUAACUACGGAGCUCUCAGUCCGAAGGGGUCUGGAUGCUCUGCGGGCGG